CGACAGGGGAGCUUGUAUACAGGCUGAGAGGAAGGUGCAACCUUCGACCCUAUUACCUGAUUUGGAUAAUGCCAACGUAGGGAGCUGUAUG
rnacentral:ncRNA from 1 species